AUGUUGCGUAUGGCACAUAUUGUUGGCUAUGGCUUAAGCAAUCCGAAUAUGAAUACAUUUCGUUUUUGUGUUUUGCAUUCAUCAUUUUUGUUAGCAGCCUGGGAUUAGUGCCAAUCCCUUACAUUUUAUGCGUUGAAAUUUUUCCGAAGAAAAUUCGUAAAACAUGCCUUACAUUGGCUGUGUCAAUGAUGUGGAUUGUUUUAUUCGGACUUGAUGCAGCAUUUCCUGCCUUCUUGAAAUACGUUCCUCUUCAUUAUUGCAUGUUCAUUUUGGCAAUUCUGACUUUAAUAAAUGCCAUUUACGGCAUUAUUUUUAUACCCGAAACGCGAGGGAAGUCCUAUGAGGAGAUUAUGCAAUUGUUAGAUAAUUAGAUUAUUAUUAUUUAUGCAUCUUUAGAUAAUAAAUGAAAUAAUUGACUUUUUGUAUGCA